UAUUCUCUGAGACUUCAAUUCUUUAUCCUUAAAUGGCUUUGAUGCUAGUAGACUCUUCACAGGGUUGUUGAAAGGCUUUUAUUAUGUAAUUAAUGUGAAAUGCUCAGCAAAGUACUGAAAUAUGUCUCUGCUAAAUUUUAAUCAUGAUCAGUAUUACUAAAAGGGAACAAAGAAGAGUUGAUUGGGGUAGAGGUAUGGCAUGUGUGGAGCCCUCCUUCUCCACGGUCUGGGAACUACUGGCAAGGAAGUAGCUGGAGGUGAGAGGGGAGAGGAGGUAAGAGGAGAUGCAGAUCCUGCUAAGUGGGCUUGGUAGAUUGGGUAAGAAGAGAAUGAGAGGAGUUUUGAUGUAGCCAUAAUUAAUAGCUGGCACCUUUUUUGAGUGUUUACUGUGAGCCCCGUGUAGUUCUAAAUGUUUUACAUGUAAAGCACCAACUCUUUGAGGUAGUUAAUAUUUUAAUAUUUUUAAUUCUUUAAGAUAAGAUAAGGGGCAGAGAAGUGUGCCUCAAAUUACACAGCCAAAUAGUAGGAUGGAGCUGUGAUUUGAGCCCCAACAGCCCAACUCCAGAAGUAUACUCUUUACUGCUUCUGGUAUAGACAAUAGAAAGAAGUAUGGAUUCAAAAUAUUGAAGAAUAAUCAAUAAUACUUGAUAAUUAGAUAUGAGGAAGGAAGCAAAACUAAAAGAGGUUCCCCUUAGGUUCCUG
rnacentral:lncRNA from 1 species